rnacentral:rRNA from 1 species
CACGUAGGCACCAAGCGUUGUCCGGAAUCACUGGGCGUAAAGGGCGCGUAGGUGGCCGAGCAAGGUUGCGGUGAAAGCCCGGGGCUCAACCCCGGGUCGGCCGUGGCAACUACUCGGCUUGAGCACUGUAGGGGCGGGUGGAAUUCCGGGUGUAGCGGUGGAAUGCGUAGAGAUCCGGAAGAACACCGGUGGCGAAGGCGGCCCGCUGGGCAGGAAGGCUCGCAAGAGCCGGCUGACACUGAGGCGCGACAGCGUGGGGAGCAAACAGG